CUGGUGGGAGAACAAAGCUGAGGUCCAGAUGAAAGAGAAGUUUCUGGUCACUCCCCAGGAUUAUGCACGAUUCAAGAAAUCCAUGGUGAAAGGUUUGGAUUCCUAUGAAGAAAAGGAGGAUGAAGUGAUCAAGGAGAUGGCAGCUCAGAUCCGUGAAGUGGAGCAGAGCCGACAGGAGGUGGUUCGGUCUGUCUUAGAGGUUGGUUUCCCUCGGAGGAUCCAGACCACCUCAGACAGUGCCAGACCCAGAAGAGGGCUCUUCAGCACAUGGAAGCUGGAAAGGGAUAAACAGCCAAGUAGCUUCCAGCUCACAGCAGCCCGCAAACUUGGACCUGCCACCAGCUCCAGAGCUUGACUGGAUGGAGACAGGACCAUCUCUGACAUUCAUUGGCCAUCAGGAUAUACCAGGAGUUGGUAACAUCCACUCAGGCAAAUGGAUUAACAAUGGAAUAGGAUUCCAGGAUGAAGACAGAAUUAUUGAUACAUACGACACAGAUGAAUCUCAGAAGUCCAGACCUGGCCGGCAUGGUGGCUCAUGCCUGUCAUCCCAGCACUUUGGGAG
rnacentral:sRNA from 1 species